GUAAGAAAUCUAGGGUUAAGGGUGGUGUUAUCAAGAGACCAAAGUUUAAAGGGUCAUUUAUGUCCUGCUUCGUGACAUCAAGGAGUGCAGAAGGGGUGAGACCUCUUCUCGUUUUUCUUGUCAUUGCAUCGUGCCCUCCUCUUAAUCGAACCCUAGCUUUUUAUUAAUGUGGGAGCCGCCAGGAGUGAGGGGAGGAAGCUGUCAAGCUGGUUUUAUUUCUUGAAGCAUCACUGCCGCUGGAGCUACCAUCGUCGGAGCUUCUAGCAGUCGGAUUCUACCACCAUUCACCUUCGUUGCUGUGUCGGAGUUAGGGAAGAAGAGUGUUGGGUGAAAGUAACGGAGGUAGUGAUGGUGAAAGGCGGUUUUGCAGCAGGUGCAGGUGGGAUGUGAUGUUAAGUGAUCGAAGGUGAGUUCUGGUGGGUGCUCGAUAGUUGAAGGCUCUUCUCUGUGAAAGGGCUGCAACAUAGGAUGUUAAAGGUUGCUUGGAGAUGGCGUAGUGGGGCUGUAGGUGGCUGGUUUCUGCUGCCGGCGCUGGAGAUUGGGAUUUAGCCGGAGAAGAAGAACCUCCGGCAGGUUGUAUGUGGUGGAGGGUUAAGGUAUCAGCCUUGACCAGUUGACCUCUUGACUUUCAUUCAACAUUUCUUCAUGGGCUAAUUAUUAAUUUCGGCCUGAUUUAUUUGGGUAAAUACUAAUAUUUUAUUUUGGGUUUUUUUUUAUGGACUCAAGUUCUCAAAGAAAUAUUGAAUGCGGGCUAGUUUGCUCUCAUGAGUUUUAUUUGAGAUAUAGAAUUUAAAAAUUAAAAUGGUUAA